rnacentral:rRNA from 1 species
AUGGAGGCUCAGGCUCCCCCUGAAGCCGCAGGAUCUCCUCUAGACCUAUCUCUCACUAUGGCCCCCGGGGCUCCUUGGUCUGUUCUUCCUUCUGGUCGCGGUGGUCGCCAUCGCAGCGGCACGGGAUCAAGGCUCUACUCUUGCCUCUUCUGUGAGAGGAAGUUCCUCAAGUCGCAUGCGCUAGGGGGCCACCAGAACGCGCACAGGAUGGAGAGGGUCGUCGGCAGCUGGAAGGCCCACCUCUACCUCCCUGACCAUCAUCAUGCCGCGGCAGCAGCCACCGGUAUAGCGCGUCUUGACACCGACGAUGACAAGCACCAGAAGCUUGAUCUUAAUCUCAAGCUUUAA